rnacentral:lncRNA from 1 species
GUUACUUGUCCUAGAGUUCAACUGUGAAUGACCUUUCUUUGAUUCUCUGAGUUACGUUUCCUCAAGAAGACACCCUGCUACCUCAGUGACAGCGUGUGUAGGGGAGAGCGGGUUGUCACCUUUCUCCCACUCUUUCAGUCUGAGGGGAAACUACCUGGGCCCUAAUAGUUGAGACAUCUCUCAGAGGUGAGUGUGGGAACUGACGACCUGAUUUCCUUGGAUGGCGAAGGAAGGAUUUAGUAGGGGCGAAGAAGGGUCAGCACCACGGACUUUGGAGGGCAAGAAGAAGUCGUUUCUUGGAUGCUAAUGAUAGUUGCGAAUUUAUUUAAUGCUUUCGUCGUACAAAAGAGAGCCUGUUUAAAAUCUAAAAUCGGGCCAUAUGGAAAGUGAAGAAACAGACCUUUACAGAUAAUUUGUAAAUAUUUAUAACUGCCCCCCACAGAUAUAUACUAUUGAUUACCUUGUAUUCCUUGUGCUAGGUUAAGAAUGAGUAAAAGACUCACCCUCUGUUUCUCAUCUAUAAAAUGUUACUCCCCUUCACUUCCAAAAUUCUGUAACUCUAAAGUGAUAUUGAGUAUGUCCGUGAAAGGUCAUGGAAGAGAGAUGAUUAUUUCCUGUAACAUGUUAUGAGCCUGCUUUUAAGGAGGAAAUCCAGGUUAUAUUUUAAAAUAAAGUUUCCAAAUUGGAUGUUUAGCAGUCACCAAUAAGAAACUGCUUUCAGAGGUAUUUAGUAAAUUUAUAAUUUAUUAAUUUUAUGACAGGCUGAAAUAGAGAAGGAAAUCAGGAUGGAUUUCAGUAUAUUUAACUCCAAGUAGUAGCACAUAAUGGUUAAGAGCAUGAGUUUUGGAGUCCAGCUCAUUUGCAUACUAGAGUCAAGAAAAAGCUUAGAUCAGGAUGAAGAUUUGAUAAUUGAAAAAUAUAAUUUAGCUCUGAUGCUUAAGAGCUCAUAAAUGACCUUAGGGAGAAACAGUUUUUGUGCAACAAUCAGGGCAGAAUCCAUGUUUCGGUGAAUAAGAGAUAAGUUAAUGGAGGCAUCUAGGCUAAAUUAUGCUUUCAAGGAGCUUAAUUCAGAAGGAGAAAACAGCAGUAGUAGCUAAUGAAGAAAGUGAGAUAAAAGUUGAGUCCUCCCCCCCUUCUGUUUUCAGGUGGAAGCAAAUACAUACUGCAUAUGCAUGUUGUUCCCCUGAAGGAAAUCAGCUAUCAGAGAGGGACAAGUUGAAGAAAUUGAAAAAUGAGACGAUAACUCAUUGGUGGAGUAACAACUUGGAAUAGAUAGGAAGAAGUGGGACCCAGAACACAUUAGCAUUUUUCUCUGACUCAAAAGAAUAUGGCUAAAGAUAAGUUUAGAAAAGAUUAAGGCAGAGAAAAAUAGAAGGAAUUCAUACUUAAUGUUUUCUAUUUUCUUUGUAGAGUUGGUGGCAGUUUAGUGUAAGUUGGAUGGAUCUGGUGGAACACUUGAGUUUAGAAUUGCCUCUGGAGAGAUUGUGAAAAAGGACUCACCUAAGGCUUCUGGUUCUUUGGAGCCUCAUCUCUAAAAUGAGGGGUGUAAGUGUUGCUCUUGAGGUAUCUCAGUGUUGAUUCAGGCCAGUUGGGAAAGAAAAAGAAUAAUUGAAGGACUUUGGGGAAAAAAAUCUAGCUUGGUAGAAACAAAUUUAUUUAAUGACAAGUUAGUAAAAUAGAUGCCAUGUUUAAAAUACUAAUUUUUUUUUUUUGCGAAGAGCAGAGCAAGAAAAAUAUGUAAGAAGAAAAUGGAGCAAAACUAUGAUUUGGGUACCUUAUGAGUGUUUUUUUAAAUCUCAUUUUAUGUAAAAUGGAGAUAAUAAUACCUCGUGAGUUGUGAGGAUUUAAAAAAACUUUCUAAGAUACUUAACACAGUGCCUUUCUCAUAGUAAGUACAUAAUAAAUAGUAACAAAUACUUUUAUGAUUCUGAGUUCCCUUUUUGGAAGGGAUGGCAGUAUGAAAAAUGUUCCCUGGGAAAAAGGAGAUUUGGUUCUGGUACUGCUCUAACUCAAUGAAAUACCACUAAUGUAGAAAGAUCUUACCCCAAUGUUCAUUGCCUUUUAGAUUCUCUCCCCCACCCCAGUUUCUUCUGACCCACACAAAAAUCAGCCCAGGAAGCAUGGAUUUGGCAGGGAUUGAUAUUGUUGGAAGCAGAAUCUUAGGCAAGGAACAGCAUGACUGUUUGGGUGGCUUUUAGAUUUCCAUGAUUGACAUUGUUGUCAGUGGGCCAGUAAAAUUUGCUUACAACUAAAGGUUGGUCUGGAGGACAGUUUGAGUGGGGUACAAAAUAAAUUCAGUAUCCUGGAAUAGAGUUGAAAGUAUACACAGAAGGUUGGCCACCUGUUAGGUUUGUUGUAGGCUUGCAUUAUAAAAUGAGCUAAGUGCUUUUUUAGGCUGUCAUUCUGUUCUCUAAACAUAAAAUCCUUCUUGCAAUUCAUGAUACUAAAGGUAUUUCACAAGUACUGUUUUUUAAGUUAUUAAAAAAAUCAAAUAUUACAUGCUUUUAUUUAGUUUUGCCACUUUUUUAAAUUAUUUAUUCUGAUUUGUUAUAUAUGAUGGCAGAAUGCAAUUCAUUUCAUAUUACACAUAUAGAGCACAAUUUUUUAAGACACUGAUUGUACACAAAGUAUUUUCACACCAUUCGUGUCUUAUACAUGUACCUAGGGUAAAGAUGUCUAAUUUAUUCCAUCAUCAUUCCUACCCCCUUGCCCCUCUUUCCUCUCCCUUCCCUUUGCCCUAUCUAAAGUUCCUCCAUUCCUCCCAUCCAUCCCUUCCCACUCCCACACUCGCCAUUAUGUGUCUAUGAGUGUUUUUUUAAAUCUCAGUUUAUGUAAAAAUCCUCAUAUCAAAGAAAACAUUUGGCCUUAGGAUUGGCUCGCUUCACUUAGCAUUAUAUUCUCCAACUUCAUCCAUUUACCUGCAAAUGCCGAUUACAUGCUUUUUGUAAUAGUGACUUUAGGUUACACAAAAGUAUAUAUAAGGUAAACAAAAGUAAAAUAACUCUGAACCUUUCCUAUUCUCAGCCUACUUUCUAGUGGUAACAAUUUUCUUUGUAUCCUUUCAUAAUUGUUUUAGGCAUAAUGAUACAAAUAAAUGUUCAUGCGUCUAUAUAUGAGUGUAUGUGUGUAUACAUACAUACAUAUUUACAUUCUGUUAAUAAAUGUCAUCUUCCUAAAUAAUAUAUUACUUUUUGAAAGUGGCACUCUAUAGUAAAUCUUUGCAUACAGUCAUAGAUAAUCAGUUGAUGGAUAUAUAAUUUAGUCAGUACCCUGAUAACAUUUAGGUUAGUUCUAGUUUUUUUCCUGCUAUUAACAAUUCUAUAAUAAAAUACUUGUACAUAUCUAUUAUAGGAUAAAUUCCUAUUAGUGGAAUUAAUGGGUCAAAAAUAUGUGGAUUUUUUUUACAUUGACAGAUAUUGCCAAAUUAUUUCUUAAAAAGACUAUAGCAAAUUCUUUACCCACUAGACUUUUUAUUCAUACUUUUACUAACAUUGAGUAUUAUUCUUCUGGGAUUCAGAAUUUUUUUUCUGGUUACUUUUAUAAGUUAAGUUUUCCACAUGAAUUUUAAAAUAAUUUUUUUAGGAAUUUUUAAAAACAUUUUUAGUUGCUGAAUAUAAUAACUUUAUUUUAUUUAUUUAUUUAUUUAUUUAUAUGGUGCUGAGGAUCGAACCCAGUGCCUUACAUGUGCUAGGCAGGCACUCUACCACUGAGCCACAACCCCAGUCCUAGGAAUUUUUUUUUGUGUGUGGGGAAUAUUUUGAUUAACAUUUACUUUAUACCUGUUGAGCUUUCCUAAUCUGAAAUCUGAAAUGCCCAAUAUCUAAAACUUUUUGAGCACUGACCAUGCUACAAGUAGAAAAUUUCACACCAUGAAACUGUUUCAUGUAAAAAAUUAUUAAAUAUUGUGUAAAAUUACCUCUAGACCCUAUGUGAAACAUGUAUAUGAAACAAACAUUCCAAAAUCUAAAACAAUUCUGUUUCCAAGCAUUUUGGGUAAGGGAUAUUCAACCUGUAAGUCAAUUUAUGGUAAGUUGACUUUACCUAUGCAAGAGUAGGUAUGAUUUUGCACUUUAAUGAAGCAAUUUACCUUAUUAAUCCUUAGAGCUACUCUAUUUUUUUCCCAUUUUUACAAAUAAGGAAACUGAAGUCAUGAGGCAUAAGUGACAUGGUCAUACAAUCAUUAGAAUGCAGCACUGGUAAAAGUCUAUCUGGUAUCAGUCUAUCUGAUACCAGCACCUCUGAUAUAUAUAAUUAUUAUUAUUAUUAUUUUUUGUGGUGAUGUUGGGGUUUGAACGCAGGGCCUUGUGCAUGCGAGGCAAGUACUCUACCAACUGAACUAUAAAAUCAUACCCAGCCCCCUUUAUGUUUUUUAAACAAUCAAAAAUACAAAUUUGCCAGGCACAGUGGUGCACACCUGUAAUUCCAGUGGCUCGGAGGCUGAGACAGGAGGAUCACAAGUUCAAAGCCAGUCUCAGCAACUUGCUGAGGCCCUAAGCAACUCAGUGAGACCCUAUGUCUAAAUAAAAUACAAAAUAGGGCUGGGGAUGUGGCUCCAUGGUUGAGUGCCCUGGUUCAAUCCCCAGUCCCAAAAAUAUACAAAUUUAUUUUUACUUUUAUUUGAAAUAGGUCUUACACAAUUUCUAAUAUUUGAAGUAAUUUUAUAGAAAGUGCUAAUAGAAUAAUAAAUAAUAAUAACAAUAAUAAUAAUAAAUAAUAAUAAUAAUAAUAAAAGAAGCCAUAGAUCAGCAACAAUAAAAAAUAUCCUUUAGAUUUUCAAUGGGAUAUAUAUUCAUAUAAAUAAAAAUGAGAAAAUGAACUAAAAAAAAAUGAAAAAGCCAAAAAAAAAAAGUGCUAAUAGGUAAGGAAUAUAUUAUUGAAUUUCAGGUUUUAAUACACCUCUUAUUAGCUUGAGGCCUUUUCCUAUUUUUUGUUUGUUAAUUACUGCUUACUAAUCACUUCUCCACCUCAUUUAAGUUAGUUUUGUAGGCGCUUUUACCUUUUAAAGAAAAAUUCUACUUAUUCUAUUUAUUUGCUUGUAUGUCAGCAUCUGAAAAUAUUCACAUUUGUUAAAAUAGGUGAAAUUGAGCCCAAAGUUACAUAUCGAGUCAAUAUUAUAAAAAUGCAUGGAAGUAAAGCAUUCUGAAGAAAAUCUAGGACCACAGAAUUUAUUUGCUGAAAUACAAUGUAUUAUUCAAAUCAAGAAUAAGAGUGGAGAAGAAUUAUUCAUUUUCCCUGCUAAAAUCAUGGAGGUAGAAGAACAGCAGCAGCCAUGGAAGACCAACUUUUACACAGAAUUGCCAAAAGUGGUGAGAAUUCUACUUACCAAUGAGUAAUGUUACUA